AAAUGUGUUGCAGAUUUGUAUUCGAAUCAAGUGUCUCCACUGGAUAUAAUCAAUGAUUCUUCUAGAAUUAACCAACUAAACGAAUUUGCAAAGAACCCUGGUGACUAAAUCUGGGAACUUGGAGUAGAAAUGGGAUCAUAUGGAUAUUUAAUAAUAAUUGCUGGAAGGGACAAAGGAAGCCUGUCAUUCCCAAUGCUUAAUCAGACAAAUACCUUCACUGACAUUAAGGAAGUUACUGAUGUGAACAAGAAUUUGUGGACUCAAGACCUCAACCUGGCAAUGACUGAACUGAACGACAGGAAGAGAAACAGCUGGAGAUGUGGCUGCCAUUGUGUAUGUCAAGUCCAAAUCAUGUUACAUGGAUACUAGGGGUGUUACCUGCAAGCCUGGUAUCUCCCAAAAACAUAAAAACACAUUUAUAGCAUAUACAUCAGGUUCUUCAGCAAGCCGUGGAAGAACUAGAAAUUACAACAGUUGCACAGCUGACCACACCAGAAUCAAUAGAUCAAUAGUCAUCAGUAUGAAUUUGUAUCAAGAAUUUAUGGAGUCAGAAGGUCUACUGACAGGAAAAAUGAAGAAAUUUAUCAGCAAAAAGAAAAAAAAAAUCAGGGCAUAA
rnacentral:lncRNA from 1 species